UACGGAGGGUGCGAGCGUUGUCCGGAAUCACUGGGCGUAAAGGGCGCGUAGGCGGCGCGGGUAGUCAUCGGUGAAAGUUCAGGGCUCAACUCUGAAUCGGCCGGUGAUACUCCCGUGCUCGAGCACUGUAGAGGCAGGUGGAAUUCCCGGUGUAGCGGUGAAAUGCGCAGAUAUCGGGAAGAACACCCGUGGCGAAGGCGGCUCUCUGGGACGGUACUGACGCUGAGACGCGAAAGCGUGGGGAGCGAACAGG
rnacentral:rRNA from 1 species